AAUGCGAGGGCUACAUAAGUUUAAAGUAGUGGAAAUUGAUGAGGCUCAAGGCUAGACUUCAAGUAACCACUGAUAACAAACUAUUUUGGUGAUUUCUUCCAUGAAAAAUUUUCAUUUGUUAGAUAAAUAGCUAUUAUUGUAACUCUUAAUAUUAAGAAAGCAGAAAUAGGUGCUUGUAUAUGAUAGCAAAGUACCAAACAGAAUAAUGAUUAAUUUUUUUCCCCUAUGAAGAGAAAAGAGCACCGUUAAGUUCAUUCCAAGAGUUCUAUUAACAAAUCUUUCAAAAUGUGAAUAUGUUAAGCUCAAAAUCACAUGGUCCAAUAAUUCAAUAGAUAGAAGAAGUUGGAAGGAAGGCAUGGCGGUGGCACCCCCACUGAUGUCCCCACAUUGCUGAGACCGAGAGGUUUUAAUUUUGGUAAUAAAACCCAGUCAAAUGGGGGUAGUAAACUAAAGGGAAGCAUAAACAUAAAGUAAUAUUUUUUUGUAUUGCUAGUUGUUACACUUCUAAAAAUUCUAAA
rnacentral:lncRNA from 1 species